rnacentral:misc_RNA from 1 species
GAAAUGCGAUAAGUAGUGUGAAUUGCAGAAUUCAGUGAAUCAUCGAAUCUUUGAACGCACAUUGCGCCCCUUGGUAUUCCAUGGGGCUUGCCUGUUCGAGCGUCAUUUGUACCCUCAAGCUCUGCUUGGUGUUGGGUGUUUGUCCCGUCUCCGCGCGUGGACUCGCCCCAAAGUGAUUGGCAGCCGGCGUACUGGUCCCGGAGCGCAGCACAUGUCGCGCAAACGAGUGCCUUGGUACGGCGGCGUCCAUAAGCCCCUCUCUCACGCUCUUGACCUCGGAUCAGGUAGGGAUACCCGCUGAACUUAAGC